rnacentral:misc_RNA from 1 species
GAAAUGCGAUAAGUAGUGUGAAUUGCAGAAUUCAGUGAAUCAUCGAAUCUUUGAACGCACAUUGCGCCCCUUGCUAUUCCAUGGGGCAUGCCUGUUCGAGCGUCAUUUGUACCCUCAAGCUCUGCUUGGUGUUGGGUGUUUGUCCCCGUCUCCGCGCGUGGACUCGCCCCAAAGUGAUUGGCAGCCGGCGUACUGGUCCCGGAGCGCAGCACAUGUCGCGCAAACGAGUGCCUUGGUACGGCGGCGUCCAUAAGCCCCUCUCUCACGCUCUUGACCUCGGAUCAGGUAGGGAUACCCGCUGAACUUAAGC